GCCGGCUUGGCUCAGUGGAUAGAGCGUCAGCCUGCGGACUGAAGGGUCCCAGGUUCGAUUCCCGGUGAGGGCA
rnacentral:tRNA from 1 species